UACGGAGGGUGCAAGCGUUAUCCGGAUUCACUGGGUUUAAAGGGUGCGUAGGUGGGUUGGUAAGUCAGUGGUGAAAGCCCGGAGCUCAACUCCGGAACUGCCAUUGAAACUGUAAGACUUGAGGAUGAGAGAGGUGAGUGGAAUUCCCAGUGUAGAGGUGAAAUUCGUAGAUAUUGGGAAGAACACCGGUGGCGAAGGCGGCUCACUGGCUCAUUACUGACGCUCAGGCGCGAAAGCGUGGGGAUCAAACAGG
rnacentral:rRNA from 1 species